rnacentral:rRNA from 1 species
UACGUAGGUGGCGAGCGUUAUCCGGAUUUAUUGGGUUUAAAGGGUGCGUAGGCGGGCUUUUAAGUCAGCGGUAAAAAUUCGGGGCUCAACCCCGUCCGGCCGUUGAAACUGGGGGUCUUGAGUGGGCGAGAAGAAGGCGGAAUGCGUGGUGUAGCGGUGAAAUGCAUAGAUAUCACGCAGAACCCCGAUUGCGAAGGCAGCCUUCCGGCGCCCUACUGACACUGAGGCUCGAAAGUGUGGGUAUCAAACAGG